rnacentral:rRNA from 1 species
AUUGAACGCUGGCGGCAUGCCUUACACAUGCAAGUCGAACGGUAACAGGUCUUCGGAUGCUGACGAGUGGCGAACGGGUGAGUAAUACAUCGGAACGUGCCCGAUCGUGGGAGAUAACGAGGCGAAAGCUUUGCUAAUACCGCAUACGAUCUACGGAUGAAAGCGGGGGAUCUUCGGACCUCGCGCGGACGGAGCGGCCGAUGGCAGAUUAGGUAGUUGGUGGGAUAAAAGCUUACCAAGCCGACGAUCUGUAGCUGGUCUGAGAGGAUGAUCAGCCACACUGGGACUGAGACACGGCCCAGACUCCUACGGGAGGCAGCAGUGGGGAAUUUUGGACAAUGGGCGAAAGCCUGAUCCAGCCAUGCCGCGUGCAGGAUGAAGGCCUUCGGGUUGUAAAAUGCUUUUGUACGGAACGAAAAGCCUCUUUCUAAUAAAGAGGGGUCAUGACGGUACCGUAAGAAUAAGCACCGGCUAACUACGUG